UCUCCGUUGGUGAACCAGCGGAGGGAUCAUUACUGAGUUUACAACUCCCAAACCCCUGUGAACAUACCUAUCGUUGCUUCGGCGGGAUCGCCCCGGCGCCCUGCGCGCCGGAACCAGGCCCCCGCCGCAAGACCCCAAACUCUGUUUUUACUUCAAUAUCUUCUGAGUGGCUUUUAAAGCAAAAAAUAAAUUAAAACUUUUAACAACGGAUCUCUUGGCUCUG
rnacentral:misc_RNA from 1 species